rnacentral:rRNA from 1 species
GGCGAACGGGGUAGGACAACAUCGGUAACGUACCCUCGGGACGGGGAUAGCGGCGGGAAACUGCCGGUAAUACCCGAUGAUCUGGCAGCACUGCGAUGGCUGCCAGCAAAGGUGUGAUUCCACCAGGGGAGCGGCUGAUGCGCUAUUAGCUAGUUGGCGAGGUCACGGCUCACCAAGGCGACGAUGGCUAGGGGGUGUGAGAGCAUGGCCCCCACCACUGGCACUGAGACACUGGCCAGACACCUACGGGUGGCUGCAGUCGAGAAUCUUCGGCAAUGGGCGCAAGCCUGACCGAGCGACGCCGCGUGCGGGAUGAAGGCCUUCGGGUUGUAAACCGCUGUCGGAGGGGAUGAAAUGCCGGGGGGUUCUCCCCCCGGUUUGACAGAGCCUCGGAGGAAGCACGGGCUAAGUUCGUGCCAGCAGCCGCGGUAAUACGAACUGUGCGAACGUUAUUCGGAAUCACUGGGCUUAAAGGGUGCGUAGGCGGCUCGCCAAGUCAGGUGUGAAAUCCCCCGGCUCAACCGGGGAACAGCGCUUGAAACUAGCAGGCUGGAGUGAGGCAGGGGUAUGUGGAACUUCCGGUGGAGCGGUGAAAUGUGUAGAUAUCGGAAGGAACGCCGGUGGCGAAAGCGGCAUACUGAGCCUUGUCUGACGCUGAGGCACGAAAGCUAGGGGAGUGAACGGGAUUAGAUACCCCGGUAAUCC